UUUUCAUUGGUCUUUGUGUAGAAGACAGGAAAUGAUAUGACCAUACAGUGUGAGGCCAAAUGUAGGGUAGAACAUGGAUUUAUACAUUUUUGUGCAAUUAUUAUUACUUAAAACAUAAAAAUGGUAAAUAAACAAUAAAUGGACAAUCUUUUAUUAAAAUAUAUAUAAAAUAUCCAAGAUUUUGGUAAAUAACAGUAUUCAAUUGUGACUCUUUUAAAAGAAAUCAGAUAACUCCUCAUACACCCCCCAACACAUUGAAAAUUUGAACUUGCAAUGGAUAUGCAGGCAACAAAUAAAGAUGUCUUCUCUCCUGAACAAAAUGCAAAAUUUAUAUUGGACUUAGAUUAAAUAGUUCCAAAUAGUUCUUGACAUCGAAUAGUGCAGAUUUAUUCCAUGAUGACUUGCAUUGACUGUUGGAUUUAGAGCAUAUUUUUUGGUAAGUACACUGAAUUAGAUUCUACCAUUUUAAGUGUGUGCAAGCUCCUUUAGUUCAACAUAAAAACAUCAUGAAAACACCUAUAGUAGAUUUUUCACUUAUAAUUAUAAUGAUUGGGUAUUAAGACAAGACAAACUGUAUAUGGUGUAUUAUAAUAACUAAUAAUCCACUAAUGAAGUAAUUU
rnacentral:lncRNA from 1 species